UCGGAGGGUCGCCGGUGAACGGUGGCCCGAGCGUUCGCGCUCGGUGUUCAUCGAUCACGGGAGGAAAGUCCGAGCUCCGCAGGGCAGGGUGCCAGGUAACGCCUGGUGGGGGCGACCCCGAGGAAAGUGCCACAGAGAGUAGACCACUUCGCCGCCUUCGGGCCGCGGAGCAAGGGUGAAAGGGUGCGGUAAGAGCGCACCGGGCCCCCGGCAACGGGGGUCGCAUGGUAAACCCCACCCGGAGCAAGAUCGAAUAGGGAAGCGUUCGAGGGCGGCCCGCCCGAGCUUCCGGGUUGUAUCGCUCGAGGCCUCUGGCGACGGGGGCCCUAGACGAAUGAUCCUCACCGCGACUCCGGCGACGGACCGCGGAACAGAACUCGGCUUAUGAGCCC
rnacentral:RNase_P_RNA from 1 species